CAGCAGGUUGCUUAGUGGUUAAGAGCAUUCGGCCAGUAACCGAAAGGUCGCUGGUUCGAAUCCCACUACUGA
rnacentral:tRNA from 1 species